rnacentral:rRNA from 1 species
AUUGAACGCUGGCGGCAUGCCUUACACAUCCAAGUCGAACGGCAGCACGGGUGCUUGCACCUGGUGGCGAGUGGCGAACGGGUGAGUAAUACAUCGGAACAUGUCCUGUAGUGGGGGAUAGCCCGGCGAAAGCCGGAUUAAUACCGCAUACGAUCUACGGAUGAAAGCGGGGGACCUUCGGGCCUCGCGCUAUAGGGUUGGCCGAUGGCUGAUUAGCUAGUUGGUGGGGUAAAGGCCUACCAAGGCGACGAUCAGUAGCUGGUCUGAGAGGACGACCAGCCACACUGGGACUGAGACACGGCCCAGACUCCUACGGGAGGCAGCAGUGGGGAAUUUUGGACAAUGGGCGAAAGCCUGAUCCAGCAAUGCCGCGUGUGUGAAGAAGGCCUUCGGGUUGUAAAGCACUUUUGUCCGGAAAGAAAUCCUUGGCCCUAAUACGGUCGGGGGAUGACGGUACCGGAAGAAUAAGCACCGGCUAACUACGUG